rnacentral:misc_RNA from 1 species
AGCAGCCGCGGUAAUUCCAGCUCCAAUAGCGUAUAUUAAAGUUGUUGCAGUUAAAAAGCUCGUAGUUGAAUUUCGGGAUUGACACAUCGGUCGUGCCUUAAGGGGUAUGAACUGGUGUAGUCAAUUUCUCACCUUCUGGAGAACCGCGAUGCCCUUAAUUGGGUGUCGCGGGGAACCAGGACCUUUACUUUGAAAAAUUAGAGUGUUUAAAGCAGGCAUUUUGCUUGAAUACAUUAGCAUGGAAUAAUAAAAUAGGACGGCAUGAUUCUAUUUUGUUGGUUUCUAGGAUCACCGUAAUGAUUAAUAGGGAUAGUUGGGGGCAUUAGUAUUCAAUUGUCAGAGGUGAAAUUCUUGGAUUUAUUGAAGACUAACUACUGCGAAAGCAUUUGCCAAGGAUGUUUUCAUUAAAUCAAGAACGAAAGUUAGGGGAUCGAAGACGAUCAGAUACCGUCGUAGUCUUAACCAUAAACUAUGCCGACUAGGAAUCAGACGAUGUUAAUUUUUAAUGUACUCGUUUGGC